rnacentral:rRNA from 1 species
UACGGAGGGUGCAAGCGUUAUCCGGAAUCACUGGGUUUAAAGGGUGCGUAAGCGGUGUGGUAAGUCAGUUGUGAAAUUCCCCGGCUUAACCGGCGGAAGUGCGAUUGAUACUGCUACACUUGAAUCAGGUUGAGGUAGGCGGAAUGUGACAUGUAGCGGUGAAAUGCUUAGAUAUGUCAUAGAACACCGAUUGCGAAGGCAGCUUGCUGGACCUGUAUUGACGCUGAGGCACGAAAGCGUGGGGAGCAAACAGG